UCCAACUGCCAGGAGCUUUCAGAGCAGGGGAAGCAACUCCUGGGCUUCGAUGUCAAACAGAAACAAACUUUUAAUUUGAAUCCGUGCCUGUAGGAGAACAGGGGCUGGAUUUGUUUUUUGGGCAGAUCUUGCAAAAGAGCAAGAAAUGGUGAAAUAUCUGCAGGAUGGAAAAUGUCACCCACUGAUCUGGCAGGAAACAUGUAGCAAAUAAACAGGAAAACCCUGGGUUUUCCUGGAAAUUGAGGACUAAAAGGGAGGUUUUAUAAAUCACAUUAAUGCCUAAAAGAAACACUUUCACUGUGAAAAUGGGCAUAUGUCAUGUCUUCCAACAGCACUGGAAUCGAGAGUUCAAGGCAAUACACUUGAACGUCCCAGCCAGCUUGGCCAAUGGUCACAGAUUGUGGGAGCUGAAAUCCCAGACAUCUGGAGGACUUCUAAAAGUUGAGAAGCACUGAUGUAGUGAGUAACUUGUGUGAGAUCAUCCAGUAAAGAUCAUGGCUGACUGUGGACAUGAACAUCACAUUCUCCAGUUUCAGUCUGACAUUCAGGCUACUACAUCAGAGUGAUUUUCCAGCAAUAACUCCAGCCAAUCAAAAAGAAGAGAGCUAUUCAAUCAUGUUAGACCUGCCAUAAAAUGGAGCUAUCAUCCAUCCAGCAAAAUGAUUACAUUUUCCAUGCCAUAAAUCUUUAUCAGAAAUACAGCUGUUACCUUGCAAUUCUUCUCUCACUGCAUGGAUUUCUUUGACUGAAAAAUGAUUGGUUUGGCAUUACUGUGGCAUUAUUAAAUUACUGGAGAUUUUAUAUAAUGCAUACCAUCUAUUGAUGCAUUUAGGCCAUAGAAAAUGUAAUUUCUAUCACAUUAGAUCCAGUGGAAAUAUGGCUGAUUAAUCUAGCCAAAAAGCGCCUAGGAAAUAGUCUCCAGCAAGUAGUUUAGUUGUUGUUGAUACUGUUAAUGAAAUAGCAUCAUGGUCAAGGGGAAGGAGAAUAAACAAGUAUAUAAGAA